rnacentral:rRNA from 1 species
AAAAAAGGUAAGCUACUAAGAGCGAAUGGUGGAUGCCUUGACUGGUAAAGGCGAUGAAGGACGUACUAGACUGCGAUAAGCUACGGGGAGCUGUCAAGAAGCUUUGAUCCGUAGAUUUCCGAAUGGGGCAACCCAAUGUAUAGAGAUAUACAUUACCUAUAUAGGAGCGAACGAGGGGAAUUGAAACAUCUUAGUACCCUCAGGAAAAGAAAUCAAUAGAGAUUGCGUCAGUAGCGGCGAGCGAAAGCGCAAGAGGGCAAACCCAGUGCUUGCACUGGGGGUUGUAGGACUGCAAUGUGCAAGAGCUGAGUUUAGCAGAACAUUCUGGAAAGUAUAGCCAUAGAGGGUGAUAGUCCCGUAUGCGAAAAACAAAGCUUAGCUAGCAGUAUCCUGAGUAGGGCGGGACACGAGGAAUCCUGUCUGAAUCCGGGUCGACCACGAUCCAACCCUAAAUACUAAUACCAGAUCGAUAGUGCACAAGUACCGUGAGGGAAAGGUGAAAAGAACUGAGGUGAUCAGAGUGAAAUAGAACCUGAAACCAUUUGCUUACAAUCAUUCAGAGCACUAUGUAGCAAUACAGUGUGAUGGACUGCCUUUUGCAUAAUGAGCCUGCGAGUUGUGGUGUCUGGCAAGGUUAAGCAAACGCGAAGCCGUAGCGAAAGCGAGUCUGAAUAGGGCGCUUAGUCAGAUGCUGCAGACCCGAAACGAAGUGAUCUAUCCAUGAGCAAGUUGAAGCUAGUGUAAGAACUAGUGGAGGACUGAACCCAUAGGCGUUGAAAAGCCCCGGGAUGACUUGUGGAUAGGGGUGAAAGGCCAAUCAAACUUCGUGAUAGCUGGUUCUCUCCGAAAUAUAUUUAGGUAUAGCGUUGUGUCGUAAUAUAAGGGGGUAGAGCACUGAAUGGGCUAGGGCAUACACCAAUGUACCAAACCCUAUCAAACUCCGAAUACCUUAUAUGUAAUCACAGCAGUCAGGCGGCGAGUGAUAAAAUCCGUCGUCAAGAGGGAAACAACCCAGACUACCAGCUAAGGUCCCUAAAUCUUACUUAAGUGGAAAACGAUGUGAAGUUACUUAAACAACCAGGAGGUUGGCUUAGAAGCAGCCAUCCUUUAAAGAAAGCGUAAUAGCUCACUGGUCUAGUGAUUUUGCGCGGAAAAUAUAACGGGGCUAAAGUAAGUACCGAAGCUGUAGACUUGCACACAACUUAGAUUAUUUAAGUUUAGAAUAUGAGAAACUAAGUUAUAUGUUUAGUUAUAUUUUUACUGAUUUUUAUAGAGUAAAGAUAGAAAUAAAACUUAGUAAAAUCAGUAAAAAUAUUCUUAGACUAAAGUUAAGUAGUUUAAGUUGUGUGCAAGUGGUAGGAGAGCGUUCUAUUUGCGUCGAAGGUAUACCGGUAAGGAGUGCUGGAGCGAAUAGAAGUGAGCAUGCAGGCAUGAGUAGCGAUAAUUAAUGUGAGAAUCAUUAACGCCGUAAACCCAAGGUUUCCUACGCGAUGCUCGUCAUCGUAGGGUUAGUCGGGUCCUAAGUCGAGUCCGAAAGGGGUAGACGAUGGCAAAUUGGUUAAUAUUCCAAUACCAACAUUAGUGUGCGAUGGAAGGACGCUUAGGGCUAAGGGGGCUAGCGGAUGGAAGUGCUAGUCUAAGGUCGUAGGAGGUUGUACAGGCAAAUCCGUAUAACAAUACUCCGAGAACUGAAAGGCUUUUUGAAGUCUUCGGAUGGAUAGAAGAACCCCUGAUGCCGUCGAGCCAAGAAAAGUUUCUAAGUUUAGCUAAUGUUGCCCGUACCGUAAACCGACACAGGUGGGUGGGAUGAGUAUUCUAAGGCGCGUGGAAGAACUCUCUUUAAGGAACUCUGCAAAAUAGCACCGUAUCUUCGGUAUAAGGUGUGGUUAGCUUUGUAUUAGGAUUUACUCCGAAAGCAAGGAAACUUACAACAAAGAGUCCCUCCCGACUGUUUACCAAAAACACAGCACUCUGCUAACUCGUAAGAGGAUGUAUAGGGUGUGACGCCUGCCCGGUGCUCGAAGGUUAAUUGAUGGGGUUAGCAUUAGCGAAGCUCUUGAUCGAAGCCCGAGUAAACGGCGGCCGUAACUAUAACGGUCCUAAGGUAGCGAAAUUCCUUGUCGGUUAAAUACCGACCUGCAUGAAUGGCGUAACGAGAUGGGAGCUGUCUCAAAGAGGGAUCCAGUGAAAUUGUAGUGGAGGUGAAAAUUCCUCCUACCCGCGGCAAGACGGAAAGACCCCGUGGACCUUUACUACAGCUUGACACUGCUACUUGGAUAAGAAUGUGCAGGAUAGGUGGGAGGCUUUGAGUAUAUGACGCCAGUUGUAUAUGAGCCAUUGUUGAGAUACCACUCUUUCUUAUUUGGGUAGCUAACCAGCUUGAGUUAUCCUCAAGUGGGACAAUGUCUGGUGGGUAGUUUGACUGGGGCGGUCGCCUCCCAAAUAAUAACGGAGGCUUACAAAGGUUGGCUCAGAACGGUUGGAAAUCGUUCGUAGAGUAUAAAGGUAUAAGCCAGCUUAACUGCAAGACAUACAAGUCAAGCAGAGACGAAAGUCGGUCUUAGUGAUCCGGUGGUUCUGUGUGGAAGGGCCAUCGCUCAAAGGAUAAAAGGUACCCCGGGGAUAACAGGCUGAUCUCCCCCAAGAGCUCACAUCGACGGGGAGGUUUGGCACCUCGAUGUCGGCUCAUCGCAUCCUGGGGCUGGAGCAGGUCCCAAGGGUAUGGCUGUUCGCCAUUUAAAGCGGUACGCGAGCUGGGUUCAGAACGUCGUGAGACAGUUCGGUCCCUAUCUGCCGUGGGCGUAAGAAGAUUGAAGAGAUUUGACCCUAGUACGAGAGGACCGGGUUGAACAAACCACUGGUGUAGCUGUUGUUCUGCCAAGAGCAUCGCAGCGUAGCUAAGUUUGGAAAGGAUAAACGCUGAAAGCAUCUAAGCGUGAAGCCAACUCUAAGAUGAAUCUUCUCUAAGCUCUCUAGAAGACUACUAGUUUGAUAGGCUGGGUGUGUAAUGGAUGAAAGUCCUUUAGCUGACCAGUACUAAUAGAGCGUUUGGCUUAUCUU